rnacentral:rRNA from 1 species
CGAGGGGCAGCAUGGUCUUAGCUUGCUAAGGCUGAUGGCGACCGGCGCACGGGUGAGUAACACGUAUCCAACCUGCCGUCUACUCUUGGCCAGCCUUCUGAAAGGAAGAUUAAUCCAGGAUGGGAUCAUGAGUUCACAUGUCCGCAUGAUUAAAGGUAUUUUCCGGUAGACGAUGGGGAUGCGUUCCAUUAGAUAGUAGGCGGGGUAACGGCCCACCUAGUCAACGAUGGAUAGGGGUUCUGAGAGGAAGGUCCCCCACAUUGGAACUGAGACACGGUCCAAACUCCUACGGGAGGCAGCAGUGAGGAAUAUUGGUCAAUGGGCGAUGGUCUGAACCAGCCAAGUAGCGUGAAGGAUGACUGCCCUAUGGGUUGUAAACUUCUUUUAUAAAGGAAUAAAGUCGGGUAUGCAUACCCGUUUGCAUGUACUUUAUGAAUAAGGAUCGGCUAACUCCGUGCCAGCAGCCGCGGUAAUACGGAGGAUCCGAGCGUUAUCCGGAUUUAUUGGGUUUAAAGGGAGCGUAGAUGGAUGUUUAAGUCAGUUGUGAAAGUUUGCGGCUCAACCGUAAAAUUGCAGUUGAUACUGGAUGUCUUGAGUGCAGUUGAGGCAGGCGGAAUUCGUGGUGUAGCGGUGAAAUGCUUAGAUAUCACGAAGAACUCCGAUUGCGAAGGCAGCCUGCUAAGCUGCAA